AAUAAGUGUAUAUAAUGUUGCAACAGAGUUCCGAGUGGCUCUCAGCCCAUCUAUUAAGAGCAUUAGAAGCAGGAAGUUGCUCAAAUUUUGCAAAUAACUUUUGCAAGUCCCAUUUAAAUCUUCUAAAUUAAUGGGCAACACAAAAUACAGAUUUUUACUAGAGUUAUUUUCAUCUAGAUAGUAGAGACACAUCUUGCACUCUUAUCUUUGAAUGCUGCAAUAUAAGAGGGGGUUCCUCCUGGAAAAAUACAUAUUGUCAUCAACGGAUAAUUUUUUGUGACUUCCAAUGGCAAACAGAAGCGACAUUGUAGCCAAGUUAGUUAGUAUUAAAAUCAUUAACAUCUGGAUACUUCUAUGGCUUAUAAGGACUGGAAAAGUUCCACUAAUUCUUGCAGCAUGGGUUUAUGGACAAAAUGGACUGAGCUCCUGGAAAAAGAAAACCCUGUAUAAUUGUCCUUAUUUGUGCAGAAAUGGAAGCAGAUGAUCACAGAAGUAAAAGCAAGGGUUUGAUGACAAAGGCAGCUGAAUGAAGCCCUGAGGAAAAAGAGUUCUGUUCCAGCCUUCAUCUCACCAUCUCCCUGCAGUUUGGGGCUGAACUACUACACCCUCAAUUAUCAACCUCAUGAAUUUCUGCACGGAAAAUGAAAGAGCUGUUGCUUUAUUCCUCUGGGCAAUAGAGUGGAUAUGAAGAGCUGAUAAGCACGUACAACUUUGUCUCCCUACACUCUCAAUGUGGCAGCCAGAGGAGCUGACUUGGAGGGGAACAGCCUUCUGCCCCUGAGGAGACACAUCCCAAUGAUCCCAAUGGUGUUCACCAGCACUGCAUGAGCUCCAGUAUCUGAACUAAGGUUCCCUUCUGAAGUGACUCCCACUGGAUUUACCAAAGAGCAUCUAUUUUUGUGUAGCUCCCAUUGUAACUAGUUUCCCAUCUUUAAAAUGAGUGUUGUGUGGCUUAGAGGAGGAAUAGAAUUGAGUUCCUGCUGAUACUACACUUUCUAGCAAACCCUUCCAUGUACUUAUACCAACAGAGACUCGAUGAUUUCCUAAAUUUACAUUGCAGGUGACUGGCUCAUUCCAGGGUGCCUGUAUGAAAUCAAUUUUAAUCUACACUCACACACAUAUCAAUAGAAACUUAGACCUAAGAAUCUCAUAAACACAGUUGUCUUCUGAUACCACAGAGGAGCAAGAAAUCCAUUUAGUCGUUGGCAAAGAGGAAGAGCUAAAUCUUUGCAGAGAAUGCAUGAAAAAGUGAUUUGAAAUUUUGAAGAUGGUGUAAGUUCAUAAUACCAUACACCACAAGGUCUCAGAAGCCCUUUUUAUCACCAGUCACCACAAUUAGCAGUAGCUAUACUGACCAACUUUGAAUAAAAUCCUGUAUGCUCUAUUUUGCCUGAAACAGACUGAUGGUUUUUGCUAAUUUGUACCUUUCUCAGAAGCAGAGCAAAUAUAUGAAACUGGUGACCUUCUCAAGACUGCCUAGGGAAUGUAAAUGGCCACUUGUGUGGUUGCUGAGGGAUGGGUAGUGUAACUUCAGGGUUUAAAAGUUCAAAAAAUACUAAUAUAUAUCAUCUGAUAAUUUAAAAAUAACAAUUUCCUCACUCCAGAAGAAGCAGAACUGCUUUCCUGUGGUCAUUUGCAUUGUGAUUUCUGUUUGGGGCUUUAUCAUCCUUCCCCUGCUCCCCAGUGAUUGCUGAACAUCUACUCAUAUUAAGGUCCACUCUUCUUCACUCUUAUAACACUAGUCUCUACCUAUCCUUUUUCCCUUCCAAAGAAAAAUGUAGAUGUCAUUGUCAUGUUGAUCCAUUCUACCCCCUUUGAAGACAAGUGCUGCUACCACAAGGAGGUAACUUCACUUUCCAUAAUGCUGGGGAUUAAAAUAGUCUACUUAUAGAAAAUUAGAAUUAAUUGUGUGAUUGUUUAAAAUCAUGUUGAAUUGAAUUGCUUUUGAUUAGCUCGGCACAAGUGACUUUAGCUUAGCAUGAGUGACUUUGCUUAGCGUGAGUGACUAUAGUGCUGAGGUCUUAAGCUGCAAACCAUAACUGAACUUAACUUGAGCCUCUGCUUAGUAGAAUCGGAGAAGUACCAGAAGAAGUCUUGUACAAUGAGAUAAGUUGGAUCAAAUCUGUUACUCAAGAAGACCUUAAAAGAGCAAAAUCAUUCCAUCUGAAGUCAACAGAAGACAGAAGAUGGAAUGAUGUGCAGACAAGAUGGAAUGAUGUUGAAUAUACAUGAGUGGAUAAAAUUCAAGAUGUUGCUCCAGUUAUCAUAGAGAAAGAGCAGCAGGGAAACAAAUUGAUCGGACAAAAAGUCUGAGCACAUGAACAUCCCAUGUAAUAGGUUGCGAGGCCUUAAAAGCGGCAGGGAAACAACUGAAAGGAGGUAUCUCACAGGAGAGCCCCAGCUAGUGCUGAAAUAGACCAACUCUGUGACAUAACCUAAGAUCCAAACUCUUCUUUACAGUUCAGGGAUAAGCCUGGAUCCAGCCACACCUAGACUCUGAAAAGCAGUUUAGAAAGCAAGGAGGGGCCAAUCUGGAUCUUUCAACUUGGUGGGAAAAAAUUCCUGAAUUCUUUUAUAACAAUAAAUAUUGGUUAGAAGCACAAAGCUUCCUGUGUCAAACAGUAGUAAUUCAAGAGGUAAUGCUGGAUAUUCGUAUAGUCUCUAUCUAAAAGUGUUUGUUAGGAUCUGAAGUCUUAUCAAGACUCCAUUGUUUACUUUCUCUCCUUCCCACUUCUUCUCCGAAUAAGGGGAUUGACCCCUCAGGUUUAGGUGAGUCUCUGAUUGAAUCUUCUUAAAAUAUUUGGCUUAAAAAUACAUUACUAAUCUUUCUGAUAUAUAUAGAGUGUUCCUCAGUCGUGUGCAUAAUAUAGGUUCAGAGUUACCUGUGUUAUAAUAUAUGAAAAAUUGAGUUGUAAAGUGUUUGUAACUGUUUAUUC